UGGGGAAUAUUGGACAAUGGGCGCAAGCCUGAUCCAGCCACGCCGCGUGAGUGAUGAAGGCCUUCGGGUCGUAAAGCUCUGUGGGGAGGGACGAACCGCCGUUGGUUCAUAGCCAACGGCAUGACGGUACCUCCUUAGCAAGCACCGGCUAACUUCGUGCCAGCAGCCGCGGUAAUACGAAGGGUGCAAACGUUGCUCGGAAUCAUUGGGCGUAAAGCGCACGUAGGCGGCUUGCCAAGUCGGACGUGAAAUCCCUCAGCUCAACUGAGGACGUGCAUCCGAAACUGGCGAGCUUGAGUACUGAAGAGGAUCGCGGAAUUCCCGGUGUAGAGGUGAAAUUCGUAGAUAUCGGGAGGAACACCAGUGGCGAAGGCGGCGAUCUGGGCAGAUACUGACGCUGAGGUGCGAAAGCGUGGGGAGCAAACA
rnacentral:rRNA from 1 species